rnacentral:rRNA from 1 species
AUUGAACGCUGGCGGCACGCCUAACACAUGCAAGUCGAACGAGUGGCGGACGGGUGAGUAAUGUCUGGGAAACUGCCUGAUGGAGGGGGAUAACUACUGGAAACGGUAGCUAAUACCGCAUACCAUCGGAUGUGCCCAGAUGGGAUUAGCUAGUGGGGGGGGUAAAGGCUCACCUAGGCGACGAUCCCUAGCUGGUCUGAGAGGAUGACCAGCCACACUGGAACGGAGACACGGUCCAGACUCCUACGGGAGGCAGCAGUGGGGAAUAUUUCACAAUGGGCGCAAGCCUGAUGCAGCCACGCCGCGUGUAUGAUGAAGUCCUUCGGGUUGUAAAGUAAUUUCAGCGGGGAGGCGUUACCCGCAGAAGAAGCACCGGCGAACUCCGUGCCAGCCGCCGCGGUAAUUC